ensembl:rRNA 5S_rRNA 5S ribosomal RNA
GUCUAUGGCCAUACCACCCUGAACCCGCCCGAUCUUGUCUGAUCUCGGAAGCUAAGCAGGGUCAGGUCUGGUUAGUACUUGGAUGGGAGAAAAAUAUCUCAAAAGGAGUUAUGAAUUCUAGAUU